AGCCCUGGUUUGUGCAGUGUUCCACAUGAUUCUUGGCUGAAUGUCCUUUUUGAGAUCCUGCAGCUGUUGACCCUGAGUGGGAGAAUGCCUUAUCCAGGUGUAGUCUUGUGCACACCUUUCCAGACCCAUAGCAGUGGUUUGGUUGCAGAGCUGUGAUUAUAUGGACAUUCUCCACACUUGGUAUACAGCAGUUCAGACAUGCAGCCCCAUUGGAAUGUGCUGAUAGAGAACGGGUCUCACAAUACUCAUCAUCAUGACAGCCGUUCUGGUCUCGGGCACUACAUCUCCCAUACACCAGCGGGGUUAAAUUCCGGAACUGAUGCCGCCGAACAGGAAGCCAGAUAAAGCCGGAAGACGCAUGCGCAGAUCGCCCGACGGGAGAUGAUUUGGACUACAUCUCCCAGAAUACUUUGCGACGGAUCGCGGCGGUGAUGUUUGUAUGUUUAUAUCUGGAUGAUUUCACACUAAGGAGAGACAAUCAUCCUAGGAUAAUGAUGUGCCCAUCCUGGACGUAAUAUUAUAGAGUGUUGAGGUGUUUGUAUUCUUUGCACUUAAGUCCCACAAGAUUGAAAACACUACAUUUCCCACAAUACCUUGCGGGACCGGAAGUGAAUGGGAAUACUGAGACAACCAAGUCACUUUUAAAGAUAGAGAAUGGCUGUAACAUAUGGGUUAUUAUAUAUGAAGUUUUAUCAUUUUAAUUAUGAUUGAAGAUUGUUAAGGAUUAUGUUGUUUUUUGAGAAUUUCUAAGUGCUUGAUCACAGGAUGACAUCACUUCCUGUGGAUGAAUUUCCUGUCAGCACAACAUUGGCCACUGGCAUCAUAAAUUCCUGGCUCCCCACACAGCAGGUCAUGUCUUGACAAAGGUCCUAGGACCGAAACGCGUCGACAGACCGCUGUGUGAGUAGCCUUUUUUCAUCUAUGGACUUUUAAUUGUAUUUUUUUUGUUACAUUUUUUCUUUUACUCGGAUGAUUUUCUGUGGAACUUGCUUUUAUUGCUUUUUUCAUACAUGUCUUUUAUGGAUUGUUAUACUUUUUGAGGAAUAAAAACUAGUCAGAUAA